rnacentral:rRNA from 1 species
AAAGGAAUUGACGGGGGCCCGCACAAGCGGAGGAGCAUGUGGUUUAAUUCGAUGAUACGCGAGGAACCUUACCUAGGUUUGAAAGACGUAUGCUUUAUUUAGAGAUAGAUAUUUCCGUUUACGGACAUACGUUUAGGUGCUGCAUGGCUGUCGUCAGCUCGUGCCGUGAGGUGUUUGGUUAAGUCCAGCAACGAGCGCAACCCUCAUUAUUAGUUACCAUCGAUUCAAGUCGGGGACUCUAAUAAAACUGCCAGCGUAAGCUGUGAGGAAGGUGGGGAUGACGUCAAGUCAGCACGGCCCUUACGUCUAGGGCUACACACGUGCUACAAUGGUUGGUACAGAGGGCUGCUACAUAGUGAUAUGAUGCUAAUCUCUAAAUCCAAUCUCAGUUCGGAUUGAAGUCUGCAACUCGACUUCAUGAAGUCGGAUUCGCUAGUAAUCGCGUAUCAGCAACGACGCGGUGAAUACGUUCCCGGGCCUUGUACACACCGCCCGU